AUAAGUGGUUACCACAUUCAAUUUCGACUUGAAAAUUUAACUUUUUAAU
rnacentral:tRNA from 1 species